rnacentral:rRNA from 1 species
AGCUAGUUGGUGAGGUAAUGGCUCACCAAGGCAAUGACGCUUAACUGGUUUGAGAGGAUGAUCAGUCACACUGGAACUGAGACACGGUCCAGACUCCUACGGGAGGCAGCAGUGGGGAAUAUUGCACAAUGGAGGAAACUCUGAUGCAGCAACGCCGCGUGGAGGAUGACACAUUUCGGUGCGUAAACUCCUUUUAUAUAAGAAGAUAAUGACGGUAUUAUAUGAAUAAGCACCGGCUAACUCCGUGCCAGCAGCCGCGGUAAUACGGGGGGUGCAAGCGUUACUCGGAACCACUGGGCGUAAAGAGCAUGUAGGCUGGUAGAUAAGUUGGAAGUGAAAUCCUAUGGCUUAACCAUAGAACUGCUUCCAAAACUGUUUACCUAGAGUAUGGGAGAGGUAGAUGGAAUUUCUGGUGUAGGGGUAAAAUCCGUAGAGAUCAGAAGGAAUACCGAUUGCGAAGGCGAUCUACUGGAACAUUACUGACGCUCAGAUGCGAAAGCGUGGGGAGCGAACAGGAUUAGAUACCCUGGUAGUCCACGCCCUAAACGAUGCACACUAGUUGUUGCUAUGCUAGACAUAGCAGUAAUGCAGUUAACACAGUAAGUGUGCCGCCUGGGGAGUACGGUCGCAAGAUUAAAACUCAAAGGAAUAGACGGGGACCCGCACAAGCGGUGGAGCAUGUGGUUUAAUUCGACGAUACGCGAAGAACCUUACCUGGCCUUGACAUAGAGAGAACUUACUAGAGAUAGUUUGGUGCUAGUUUACUAGAACUUUCAUACAGGUGCUGCACGGCUGUCGUCAGCUCGUGUCGUGAGAUGUUGGGUUAAGUCCCGCAACGAGCGCAACCCUCGUGUUUAGUUACUAACGGUUCGGCCGAGGACUCUAGACAGACUGCCUCCGUAAGGAGGAGGAAGGUGAGGACGACGUCAAGUCAUCAUGGCCCUUACGGCCAGGGCUACACACGUGCUACAAUGGGGCAUACAAAGAGCAGCAAUACCGCAAGGUGGAGCAAAUCUCAUAAAAUGUCUCCCAGUUCGGAUAGCAGUCUGCAACUCGACUGCUUGAAGUUGGAAUCGCUAGUAAUCGUAGAUCAGCAAUGCUACGGUGAAUACGUUCCCGGGUCUUGUACUCACCGCCCGUCA